AUAGUACAGUUUCGGCCUCGUUUUACCAAACACCUUUUGGUUUGGCCGAAAAACGAGUUUGUAUGUUUGGGCAAUUGGGAAAAAACUUGAUCCGGUCGAUUUGGAAUUGAUUUUUGGUCUAGAAACUUCCACACUUGCUUCAAUACUAGAUCGUAGCGGAAUAUUUGAUCACUAAUGGUUUUUUUGAGCUUAGUAUCAAUCCAACCAAUCAACACCUCAAAGAAAUCGACCCAAAUCCACCCAACUAUCCCGACUUCGGUUGCUUUAGUAUUACCUACUUAGGACACAAGGUAAGGGAGUUAUUGCAGCCACGAAGACAUUUACAAAGUCAGAGAAAGAAACCUGACGACUUCUUCCUUCUUUUCUUGCUUUGCUAUCGCUUUAGUAGUCAAGAAUACCUCUUUCUUUUUGAAUGAAGAAGGCACGCUAAAGUAAAGCACAAAGCCAAGU
rnacentral:lncRNA from 1 species